GAUGAAGAACGUAGCGAAAUGCGAUAAGUAGUGUGAAUUGCAGAAUUCAGUGAAUCAUCGAAUCUUUGAACGCACAUUGCGCCCUUUGGUAUUCCUUAGGGCAUGCCUGUUCGAGCGUCAUUUAAACCUUCAAGCUAAGCUUGGUGUUGGGUGACUGUCCGCUUCACGGCGGACUCGCCUCAAAAUUAUUGGCGGCCGGUACAUUGGCUUCGAGCGCAGCAGAAACGCGAACUCGGGCCCGUCGUAUUGGCUCCCAGAAGCUAUCUUCACAAUUUUGACCUCGGAUCAGGUAGGGAUACCCGCUGAACUUAAGCAUAUCAAUAAGCAGAGGA
rnacentral:misc_RNA from 1 species